GACGAACGCUGGCGGCGUGCUUAACACAUGCAAGUCGAACGGAAAGGCCCUGCUUUUGUGGGGUGCUCGAGUGGCGAACGGGUGAGUAACACGUGAGUAACCUGCCCUUGACUUUGGGAUAACUUCAGGAAACUGGGGCUAAUACCGGAUAGGAGCUCUUGCUGCAUGGUGGGGGUUGGAAAGUUUCGGCGGUUGGGGAUGGAUUCGCGGCUUAUCAGCUUGUUGGUGGGGUAGUGGCUUACCAAGGCUUUGACGGGUAGCCGGCCUGAGAGGGUGACCGGCCACAAUGGGACUGAGAUACGGCCCAGACUCCUACGGGAGGCAGCAGUGGGGAAUAUUGCACAAUGGGCGGAAGCCUGAUGCAGCAACGCCGCGUGCGGGAUGACGGCCUUCGGGUUGUAAACCGCUUUCGCCUGUGACGAAGCGUGAGUGACGGUAAUGGGUAAAGAAGCACCGGCUAACUACGUG
rnacentral:rRNA from 1 species